GUUGAACGCUGGCGGCGUGCUUAACACAUGCAAGUCGAUCGGUAACAGGUGUAGCGAAUACAUGCUGACGAGAGGCGGACGGGUGAGUAAUGCUUGGGAAUCUGCCUAUUAGUGGGGGACAACCCGGGGAAACUCGGGCUAAUACCGCAUACGCUCUACGGAGGAAAGCCGGGGACGCAAAGGCCUGGCGCUAAUAGAUGAGCCCAAGUCGGAUUAGCUAGUUGGUAGGGUAACGGCCACCAAGGCGACAAUCCGUAGCUGGUCUGAGAGGACGACCAGCCACACCGGAAC
rnacentral:rRNA from 1 species